rnacentral:rRNA from 1 species
GAGUUUGAUCCUGGCUCAGAUUGAACGCUGGCGGCAUGCCUUACACAUGCAAGUCGAACGGUAACAGGUCUUCGGAUGCUGACGAGUGGCGAACGGGUGAGUAAUACAUCGGAACGUGCCCGAGAGUGGGGGAUAACGAAGCGAAAGCUUUGCUAAUACCGCAUACGAUCUCAGGAUGAAAGCAGGGGACCGCAAGGCCUUGCGCUCACGGAGCGGCCGAUGGCAGAUUAGGUAGUUGGUGGGAUAAAAGCUUACCAAGCCGACGAUCUGUAGCUGGUCUGAGAGGACGACCAGCCACACUGGGACUGAGACACGGCCCAGACUCCUACGGGAGGCAGCAGUGGGGAAUUUUGGACAAUGGGCGCAAGCCUGAUCCAGCCAUGCCGCGUGCAGGAUGAAGGCCUUCGGGUUGUAAACUGCUUUUGUACGGAACGAAAAGACUCUGGUUAAUACCUGGGGUCCAUGACGGUACCGUAAGAAUAAGCACCGGCUAACUACGUGCCAGCAGCCGCGGUAAUACGUAGGGUGCGAGCGUUAAUCGGAAUUACUGGGCGUAAAGCGUGCGCAGGCGGUUAUGUAAGACAGAUGUGAAAUCCCCGGGC